CAGUAGCCGCGGUAAUACAGAGGGUGCGAGCGUUAAUCGGAUUUACUGGGCGUAAAGCGUGCGUAGGCGGCUUCUUAAGUCGGAUGUGAAAUCCCUGAGCUUAACUUAGGAAUUGCAUUCGAUACUGGGAAGCUAGAGUAUGGGAGAGGAUGGUAGAAUUCCAGGUGUAGCGGUGAAAUGCGUAGAGAUCUGGAGGAAUACCGAUGGCGAAGGCAGCCAUCUGGCCUAAUACUGACGCUGAGGUACGAAAGCAUGGGGAGCAAACAGGAUUAGAUACCCCCUAGUCCCUGUCUCUUAUACA
rnacentral:rRNA from 1 species